GACGAACGCUGGCGGCGUGCUUAACACAUGCAAGUCGAACGGUGAAGCGCCUUCCUUUUUGGUGGGUGUGGAUGAGUGGCGAACGGGUGAGUAACACGUGAGUAACCUGCCCCCUUCUUCUGGAUAACCGCAUGAAAGUGUGGCUAAUACGGGAUAUUCUGGGUCUGUCGCAUGAUGGGUCUGGGAAAGAUAUUGUUUCGGUGGGGGAUGGGCUCGCGGCCUAUCAGCUUGUUGGUGGGGUGAUGGCCUACCAAGGCGGUGACGGGUAGCCGGCCUGAGAGGGUGGGGGGUCGAAGGUGGAAUGGGGAACGGGCCAGGACCCGAGGGGGGGGCGCAGGGGGGGAGGUGAUAGAGGGGGGCGCAGCCUUGUGCCGCGAACGCGGGGGGGGGGUGGGGGCCUUCGGGGUGUUAACCAUUUUCGGCAGUGAAAGAGGCCCUCCCCCUUUGUAGGGGGGGUGACCGGGGGGGGAAAAGAAGCCCCCGCUAAAUACC
rnacentral:rRNA from 1 species